GACGUAGGAGGCGAGCGUUGUCCGGAGUUACUGGGCGUAAAGGGCGCGUAGGCGGCCUGUUAAGUCGAACGUGAAAUCCCCGGGCUCAACCCGGGAACUGCGUCCGAUACUGGCAGGCUUGAAUCCGGGAGAGGGAUGCGGAAUUCCAGGUGUAGCGGUGGAAUGCGUAGAGAUCCGGAGGAAGACCGGUGGCGAAGGCGGCCUGCUGGGCAGUUACUGACACUGAGGCGCGACAGCGUGGGGAGCAAACAGG
rnacentral:rRNA from 1 species